AAUCGUUUCCAGGAAAAACCUGCAGAAAGGAGCCUCCUGUUUCCUCACAGCUCAGACAUGAAGCCCACCCUUAUCUCAGUGCUGGUGAUGAUAUGCACACUCCGAGGAGCAGGAGCCCAGACAGUGACUCAGCCUGAGGACCACCUCUCUGUCUUUGAAGGGUCCCUGGUGCAGGUGAAGUGCAAUUACUCGUAUAUUGGGAGUCCUGUGCUCUUCUGGUAUGUCCAGUACCCCAAACAACACCUCCAGUUACUUCUGAAACAGAUCUCAAGAGAGAGCGUCAAAGGUUUCACAGCUGACCUCAACCAGGGUGAGGCAUCCUUCCAUCUGAAAAAACGAUCAGCUCAAGAGGAAGACUCAGCGGUGUAUUACUGUGCUCUGAGUGACACAGUGACUGGUUUUACAAAGGAAGCAGAGCACAAACCCCUUAGGAGUUACAGACAGUAUUUCCAAGUUCCCUAUUUGACUACAGUGGGGCAUCUCUCUCUCUAG